rnacentral:rRNA from 1 species
UUUUUAUAUUUAGUAAAAAUUAAUUUUUUUUAUUUGAAUUAAUUUUAAUUUAUUUAAUUGGGGUGAUAAAAAAAUUUAAUUAACUUUUUUAUGAAUAUUCAAUUAGUUAUUGGAUUUAUUUUUAACUAAAUUUUAAUUUUAUAUAAAUUAAAU